UCCCAUUUUCUAUUCAACAACUCCACUGUGUACAAAUAUAUCAUGGUUACCCUUAAAACUGGGAGAGGGGGGGGGGGGGGGGACGGGGUAGUACGGGUAGAAAUAUACAUAGAAACACUAGAUAUACAUACACUAAUAAGGAUAUACAUACAUACAUAUAAUACUCCCGUUUUCUAUUCGUGUACAAAUAUAUCAUAGUUACCCUUAAAACUGGGACAGGGGGGAGGGAGGGAGCAGGAUAUUGGUGGAUAUAUACAAGAGUUAUCCCUAAAAUAUACAUAGAAAACACAAGAUUAUACAUACACCCAUAGUACUCCCGUUUUCUAUUCAUCUGUCGUACAAAUAUACCAUAGUUACCCUUAAAAUCGCAUAUGGGUGGAUAUAUACAA